rnacentral:rRNA from 1 species
AUUGAACGCUGGCGGCAUGCUUUACACAUGCAAGUCGAACGGCAGCGCGGCGCAACCUGGCGGCGAGUGGCGAACGGGUGAGUAAUACAUCGGAACGUACCCAGAAGUGGGGGAUAACGUAGCGAAAGUUACGCUAAUACCGCAUACGUUCUACGGAAGAAAGUGGGGGACCUUCGGGCCUCAUGCUUUUGGAGCGGCCGAUGUCUGAUUAGCUAGUUGGUGAGGUAAAGGCUCACCAAGGCGACGAUCAGUAGCUGGUCUGAGAGGACGACCAGCCACACUGGGACUGAGACACGGCCCAGACUCCUACGGGAGGCAGCAGUGGGGAAUUUUGGACAAUGGGCGCAAGCCUGAUCCAGCAAUGCCGCGUGAGUGAAGAAGGCCUUCGGGUUGUAAAGCUCUUUUGUCAGGGAAGAAACGGCUGAGGUUAAUACCUUUGGCUAAUGACGGUACCUGAAGAAUAAGUACCGGCUAACUACGUGCCAGCAGCCGCCGUAAUAC